UACGUAGGUGGCGAGCGUUAUCCGGAAUUACUGGGCGUAAAGCGCACGCAGGCGGUCUUUUAAGUUUGACGUGAAUGCUCUCGGCUUAACUGGGAGAGGUCGUUGAAGACUGGAAGGCUUGAGGCAAUGAGAGGGGUGUAGAAUUCCCGGUGUAGUGGUGGAAUGCGUAGAUAUCGGGGGGAAUACCAGUGGCGAAAGCGGCACCCUAGCGUUAGCCUGACGCUCAUGUGCGAAAGCGUGGGGAGCGAACGGG
rnacentral:rRNA from 1 species